rnacentral:rRNA from 1 species
AAACCAGCACCUCAAGUGGUCAGGAUGAUUAUUGGGCCUAAAGCAUCCGUAGCCUGCUUUGUCAGUUUUCGGUUAAAUCCAUACGCUCAACGUAUGGGCCGCCGGAAAUACUGCAAAGCUAGGGAGUGGGAGAGGUAGACGGUACUCGGGAGGAAGGGGUAAAAUCCUUUGAUCUCUCGAUGACCACCUGUGGCGAAGGCGGUCUACCAGAACACGUCCGACGGUGAGGGAUGAAAGCUGGGGGAGCAAACCGGAUUAGAAACCCGGGUAGUCC